GGUGCCAUUUGGGUUGCACAAUAUUACACAGCUGGGGGAAAUGUGGUGUCAAUGGAUGAUGAGUAAAGAUUAUACUCAGCUUAUACUCAGAACACCAUGAAAUUCAGAGUUCCCUUUGAUAAGUAACUCAGCAUUUGCUGAGAUAAUGAAUACAAUAAUACAUGAAUGUAUGAAUGAAUGAAUGGGCCAACAAGUGUUGCUGGGAAAUGUUCAUGAAGGAUUACGAGUCAAAAAAAUUGAAUUAAUAUCAAUGAUGUGUAGUAUCACUGAGCUUCUCUAAAGCCUUGAUUUCUCAUCCAUCAAAAGGCAAUGAUACCACCUAAGUGCAAGACUGUAAUAAGAUAGUAUACACAACAUGCCUUUUUGAAAGGUGUCUUUUAACGCUGGCUGUUGUUGCUGUUUUAAAUUAAUUUACCAAGAAAGGCUCCAUGAUGUGUGGCUCUGGUGUGGAACAGUGACAGAAGCCUGGAAUGGAAUCAACCCAGACACUUUUCUUGUGCCUAAAGUGUGGUAAUGGGAGUUCCCACAGAGGCUCAGUGGUUAACAAACCUGACUAGUAUCCAUGAGGACUCAGGUUCGAUCCCUGGCCUUGCUCAGUGGGUUAAGGAUCCAGUGCUGCUGUGAGCUGUGGUUUAUGUGGCAGGCUUGGCUCGGAUUCCGUGGUGCCAUGGCUGUGGUAUAGGCUGGUGGCAGCUACAGCUCUGAAUGGAUCCCUAGCCUGGGAACCUCCAUAUGUAUGCCACCAGUUGCGGCUCUAGAAAGACAAAAGACAAAAUAAUGAUAAUAAUAAUAAUAAUUUAAAAAUAAAAUAUGGUAGUGGAAGGUUUUCAGAGAGAAGAGGAAGGCAUAUAGUGGGAAAGGGGAUCCCUAUUCUAGAAUCUUCUGGACACACCCUUGUUCUGUGUUUAUUUUUAUCAACACUCACAUGUUUCUUGACACUUCAGCAACACAGGGCCUGAAUGUUUUUUUUCAUUCACUAUUAUAUCACCAGUGGCUGGCACAUGAGGCAUCUAAUAAAUAUUUGUCAAAUGAGUGAAAAGCAUUAAUCCUGAAAUAAGCCUUUUUUUUUACCCAAAUCUCAGCUGAAUUUUCAGAGCAAAGCAUAAAAUGAACCAGAAUUUCCCCAUGCCUUUCUCCAAAGUGAAAAAAAAAAA
rnacentral:lncRNA from 1 species